rnacentral:rRNA from 1 species
AUGGCUUCCCCGGAGCCAUCGGCGGGCGGCGAUGCGGCCAGCCAGAGUGCUGCGGUGCAGCCGCUCCAGCUGCCAACGCCGGAGGAGAUCAAGGGGCAGGAGAUGAUGAACAACUGCGCCGUCCGGAGCGUCCUCAGUGGUGUCAUGGCAGUAGAAAGGUUGCUGUUUGGCGGUGCGCCCCUCUCUGCCCCCCCACCCCACCACCUCCACUAUCAAUUAUUCCUUUUAGCACCGGGAGGUGGUCUUGGUGUACUUAUGGGACUAUUUUUUGGAGCUUUGGAAAAUCCAAUAAUGUCAGAGGAGAUGACAGCAAGGCAACAAAUAGUCUACCAGGCAAAACAGAUGGGUAGGAAAAGUAUGAGCCAUGCUAAGACCUUUGCAGUAAUGGGCUUGAUUUUUUCUGCAGCUGAAUGUGUCGUAGAGAAGGCUCGGGCAAAGCAUGACAUUACCAAUUCGGCAGUAGCUGGCUGUGUCACAGGAGGGGCUUUAGCUGCAAAAGGUGGCCCUCAAGCUACAUGUAUCGGGUGCGUGGGUUUUGGUGCCUUCUCUGUGGCGAUUGAGAAGUUCAUGGAACGGCAUACUUGA